GAGCCCCAGCGCAACCCCGGCCGCUCUCGUGGGAACCGCUCCCGCGGGCCGCGUGUGGGGGACCGGGAGCUCGGGCCGCCUCUCCUCGGGUAGCUGUAAGGGACACGUUCAGCUGAGGGACCCACGGCGAGAGGGUGGGAACGGGUAACUUCGGCUGCCCGGCAGAAGGGCGCGGAGCGGAUACACUGAGGCAAAGUUGCGCAAAGUUUGCGCUCACGGCCACCGCUCCCCGCACCUCCUCUCCUCUCACGGCUGCUCCAUCCCUCUCGUUCAUCGCUGUGCGAGCGCAGCGCUGGGAAUGGAACGGUUUGCGCUCACGGAUGCGGCUCUUUUCCCUUCACCCGCGGCCCCGAAUCCCAUCGCUGGGGACGGUGCGCUCCUCCCGCGAGCGCGGUGCGGCUACGGCCGCUGCGGCCCCGACAGCCGCGGGACCGCUCUGAGCCGUGUACCAAAAAAAACGGGGCCAAGUGCUGAGCGCGGCGCUUUUUAUUGCCUCGCUAUUGAACUUUGCAAACAGUGCGGCGGGGGCAGGCGGCGAUGGAGGGGCGCGGAGGCGCGGGGCUGAGCGGGGUGAGAGGAGCGGGGCGCGUCGGUCUCUCGGUGAUUUGGGAACGGAGCAGCUCCGGAGAUGGGCGCAGCCGUGGCAGAGAAGUUAGAUUGCAGCUGAAGGAGAGAGGUCAGUAGCUUUCCCGGUCAAUCUCUCUGUCCGUCCGACGCUGUCCCCGUCUAUUCCCCACGAAGGGAAAAAGCUCCAACUUCACUCCUCCGCGCACUGCGCGCACCUCCGCUGCCGGCGCAGUGAGGCUGCGGCUGUUCGGUCCCUUAUCUGAGACGGGGAAAUAACGGCGCUCCUUCCAAUCACGGGGCGGAAUCGGUCUCCUCCCGUUCAGUUGUGACAUAUCUGUAUUUUUUCUUUGGGUCUCAUUUUGGAACCGCAGUUGACAACUUUUAUUUAAAAGCACUUUACCAGGCGCCACUUAAUGCAUUAUUCACAUUUUUAAAAAUGCUUGAGAGAAAUCACCUUAAUGAAGAGAACAUUUGCGGUAAUUUGGCGAUAAUUAUCAGAAUGGCCAAACGUUCGCAGAGGCUGUAGCGUUACGUGUCGGAAGAAAAGCGAAGCGCAUUAUUUUAAUGGUCUGAUAUGCAAACUACGGACCGUCCAAUUAUAACCCUUAAUAGCGCAGACGCGAUGCGGUGCCGCUGCUGUUGGGACGGGAGGGCCGCGGCGGUGCGCUCCGAGGACCGCGUGUGCGCCUCCAUCCAGCGAGAGCGUUCCCGUGGAGCAGGGCCCUGCCAAACCGCAUUUAAGAGAAUAAAAAUUAAUGACUGCGAAUUUGAGCGUUAAAUUAACAUUAAUUAUAUGACCUGCCUGCUGGAAAGAUUAAAUUUCUUACGCCCUAAUUAGAUAACGUCUCCUCAUACAUCAAACAAUUUCCUUUUCCAGAUUUCGGUAUUAAAAUGCAAGAACGGGG
rnacentral:lncRNA from 1 species